rnacentral:rRNA from 1 species
AUUGAACGCUGGCGGCAGGCCUAACACAUGCAAGUCGAACGCGUGGCGGACGGGUGAGUAAUGUCUGGGAAACUGCCUGAUGGCGGGGGAUAACUACUGAAAACGGUAGCUAAUACCGCAUACCAUCGGAUGUGCCCAAAUGGGAUUAGCUAGUAGGUGGGGUAACGGUGCACCUAGGCGGCGAUCCCUAGCUGGUCUGAGAGGAUGACCAGCCACACUGGAACUGAGACACGGGCCAGACUCCGACGGGAGGCAGCAGUGGGGAAUAUUGCACAAUGGGCGAAAGCCUGAGGCAGCCAUGCCGCGUGUAUGAAGAAGGCCUUCGGGUGGUAAAGUACUUUCAGCGGGGAGGCGUUACCCGCAGAAGAAGCACCGGCUAACUCCGUGCCAGCCGCCGCGGUAAUUC